rnacentral:lncRNA from 1 species
GCCCCUGUUCCCACCUAGACAGUAACCUAAUACUCGCUCACCUCCUACCACCUAGUGACAUCACCGGCUCCUCCAUUCCCUAGUCACUACCUCAUUCAACCCUGCCUCAGCCCCUACAAGCCCCACCCCAGUCUCUAUAAAAGACUCUCCCUGCCCCAGCCAUAUUGCUUUUGUCUCUCCUUUGUUCAGAGACAGCCCGGCAGAUCUAUUCCCCUAAUAAAGGCUUGUUGUGGCCUGGUCUGGUCUUGGUCUUCGGCCCUUUUACCUGACAUUUCUGGUGCCGUGACUCGGAUGGUAGAUGGUCCAUUAAGGGACGAUCCCCCGCAGGACGGGGUUGAUUGACCUUUUGGCCAUCUCCAACGGACCUAUCUGCCGUUGCCAGGACCCUCCGGGGCUUUCUACCUUUGCCAUUGCUGACGCUACACAUCCACACCGGUCACCAAUGUCUGGAAACGAUUGAGGACAUUCACCAGCCAGACAGUCACAGAGUUCAUCAUGGCAGGGAACCAGCCAGUACGGCAAAAGGAAGAGGUCCCCACUUGCCACUGACCUCAUCAGAUCCAGGUCUAGCCCCGAUCUUCGCCCCUUGUCAGCAGAAAGCAGCUCCAAAAAAAGAGACCUUCGCCCAACUAUCAUAAAACAAAAGCCUGGAAUGAUAGGUCUCCCACCACCUCAGCAGCUAUUAAAUAUAGUAGCUGCCCUCUUCCUAUGGUGCCUUGCCCCCUCCCCUGUGUGACAUCAUGCCAAGAUGGUUGCUCCCACCAAAGAACAAACCCUUCUUCCCAGCAUGCCCCUGUUCCCACCUAGACAGUAACCUAAUACUCGCUCACCUCCUACCACCUAGUGACAUCACCGGCUCCUCCAUUCCCUAGUCACUACCUCAUUCAACCCUGCCUCAGCCCCUACAAGCCCCACCCCAGUCUCUAUAAAAGACUCUCCCUGCCCCAGCCAUAUUGCUUUUGUCUCUCCUUUGUUCAGAGACAGCCCGGCAGAUCUAUUCCCCUAAUAAAGGCUUGUUGUGGCCUGGUCUGGUCUUGGUCUUCGGCCCUUUUACCUGACAGUGAGUAUGGGGUAUCCUUUUAGGUUUUAGGUACAAAAUGAGACCCUAUCUCAAAAAAACAAAAAAGAGAAACAUAUGUACCACUCCCAUUUAUGGGUUGGGACCCUGGUAUCUAGUAGUUCUUUGUUUUUUUACCUGUAAUGCUGCUACUAAAUGGACUUUCCCCCUAGAGUCCUUAGUACUCUUCUGCUUUUGCUCUGUCACUGCUGCACACAUUAAUGUAUUUUGUAAUCCAUAAUUUUUAUUGUCAAUGAUGUUGUCUGUAUUGUUGACUACCUUGUAUAGAGUUUUCUCUUUACUAACAGAAGACCUAGAGGAAAGAACAAACCCAUUUGUGUAUUUUUCUUGGUUCUUCCCUUCUCUUCCUCCAUGACUAGCCCUGUACCAAAUCCUUGCCAUAUCUGACUAGAAGGCUGUCCUCAACUUGAGGCAACUUAGUGGGCCACCACUAUUUCCCUAGCCUGUCAUACCUCCAGAAGUGCUGACUCUUUUAAUAGGCCUCAGAUGGGACCACAGUGGUAGGUUUUCUCCUAAGACACCAGGGAGCUCUUCCUUUGAUUCAGAUAGCAACUAUGGAUAUCUCAGACCCUGGAUUGCUUUUUAUUUUAUUGUACUGGGAACUGAACUCAGGACCUUGCACUUGCCAGGCAAGCGUGGCACCACUGAGCUACAUCCUUAGUCCUGGAUUGCUUUUAAUCACAGCUAAAAAUCUAUCUAAUUUAGGUCCUUUUGUACAGAUGACGAUUUUCAGGCAGUUUAUUCUCUUAAGCACAGAGACUUUGCAAGUGCUAGAAAGAGAGUUUGUCUUCCCUGUUUCAAACCAUAAAGACUUCAAUACUCUGAUUUCCUAUGAGGGAGAAGCUGAGCUGGACCUAGAUGUAACAUGGUCCCAAAGACUUGACUCAGAAACAGUUUCAAUUAAGUGUUCUUAAGUCACCUUCUGUUUAUGUCUCAAGUCUACAAAAAAAAUGUGUGGGUUUCAUGCCCUUUAAUUAUUUGGGGAAAAAAACUUCCAUAGAAAUAUAAGAUACAUAUUUUAUGAGCAACUUGGGGUUUUUUAAUAUGUAAAUCCUACUAAAGACUAUGGUUUAUUUUUUGUGUACUGCUGGAUUGCAUAACAUACAGAAAACUCUCUGGCGUUUUACUUCACAAGAAAACAAGAGACAAUGUGAUUCUAGAAGUAGCAGAGGAAGUAGGGAUACAUUAAAUCAGUCGAGCUAAGGCCACGUAACUUCAGAGGUGAACAGCAAAAGAUCUGAGGGCUGCACCUCCAAGGGAUGAAACGACUCAGCCUCCUGCCUACUACUCUCCCACCACAAGAUGGCAGGAUUCCCCUUGCCCGAAAUCUUCCAUAAAAGGAUAAGUGAUUUCCAGAGUGUGUAUCUUCUUUUGUGCUUAAUAAUGGUGUCAGACUGUCUUGUGUAUGACAUCAUCUAUGUUUCUAGGAAC